rnacentral:rRNA from 1 species
CAGUAGCCGCGGUAACACGAAGGGUGCAAGCGUUAAUCGGAAUUACUGGGCGUAAAGCGCACGCAGGCGGUUUGUUAAGUCAGAUGUGAAAUCCCCGAGCUUAACUUGGGAACUGCAUUUAAAACUGGCAAGCUAGAGUCUUGUAGAGGGGGGUAGAAUUCCAGGUGUAGCGGUGGAAUGCGUAGAGAUCUGGAGGAAUACCGGUGGCGAAGGCGGCCCCCUGGACAAAGACUGACGCUCAGGUGCGAAAGCGUGGGGAGCAAACAGGAUUAGAUACCCCUGUAGUCCCUGUCUCUUAUAC